UAAUUCGUAGAAAUGAGAAAUAUGUGCUUCACAUAACUGGUAGUGAAGGUCUAUAGGCUGCUGUCCUUGACGUUUCUUACGGCGAAAUCAAGAUGACCAAAAAGCUUCUUGCAGCCUUUCUUUUCGCUGCCUCUUCAAUAGGUUUGGAGUGUGCAUUUUUCACAAAACGAAAAAACGAUUGGAAUAUAAGAAAGUUCGUUAAUACGUCAGAACACAUUUGGACAUACAGUACGAGUGACUGCAGACAAAUUGAGUGCAAAAUGGACGCAAAGGUAUCAGCGACCAAGACAUCGCUCGUCUUUAAUAGGUCGUACUACAUAGGGACAGAAAGGAUUCAUGAUGUCUUAGAAGGACAGUUUUUUGACAAGCAAAAGGACCGCAUGACUAUUCGUCGUGGAGGUGGCAGUUUCACGGAGUCAGAGUAUAUGCUUUAUUACCAUAAGAAUGACGGCUGCGCUGUUUUUAGAGUGAAGACGCAAAACCACGGUGCGUUUCUAUGAUCUUGAAAGC